GACGAACGCUGGCGGCGUGCUUAACACAUGCAAGUCGAACGAUGACGACCGAGCUUGCUCGGUCUGAUUAGUGGCGAACGGGUGAGUAACACGUGAGCAACCUGCCCUUCACUCUGGGAUAACCUCGGGAAAUCGGGGCUAAUACCGGAUAUGAGCUCCUGUCGCAUGGCGGGUGUUGGAAAGUUUUUCGGUGAAGGAUGGGCUCGUGGCCUAUCAGUUUGUUGGUGAGGUAGUGGCUCACCAAGGCGAUGACGGGUAGCCGGCCUGAGAGGGCGACCGGCUACACUGGGACUGAGACACGGCCCAGACUCCUACGGGAGGCAGCAGUGGGGAAUAUUGCACAAUGGGCGAAAGCCUGAUGCAGCGACGCCGCGUGAGGGAUGACGGCCUUCGGGUUGUAAACCUCUUUCAGCAGGGAAGAAGCGAAAGUGACGGUACCUGCAGAAGAAGCGCCGGCUAACUACGUG
rnacentral:rRNA from 1 species